rnacentral:rRNA from 1 species
AUUGGGACUGAGAUACGGCCCAGACUCCUACGGGAGGCAGCAGUGGGGAAUAUUGCACAAUGGGCGCAAGCCUGAUGCAGCGACGCCGCGUGAGGGAUGGAGGCCUUCGGGUUGUAAACCUCUUUUAUCGGGGAGCAAGCGAGAGUGAGUUUACCCGUUGAAUAAGCACCGGCUAACUACGUGCCAGCAGCCGCGGUAAUACGUAGGGUGCAAGCGUUAUCCGGAAUUAUUGGGCGUAAAGGGCUCGUAGGCGGUUCGUCGCGUCCGGUGUGAAAGUCCAUCGCUUAACGGUGGAUCUGCGCCGGGUACGGGCGGGCUGGAGUGCGGUAGGGGAGACUGGAAUUCCCGGUGUAACGGUGGAAUGUGUAGAUAUCGGGAAGAACACCAAUGGCGAAGGCAGGUCUCUGGGCCGUUACUGACGCUGAGGAGCGAAAGCGUGGGGAGCGAACAGGAUUAGAUACCCUGGUAGUCCACGCCGUAAACGGUGGAUGCUGGAUGUGGGGCCCGUUCCACGGGUUCCGUGUCGGAGCUAACGCGUUAAGCAUCCCGCCUGGGGAGUACGGCCGCAAGGCUAAAACUCAAAGAAAUUGACGGGGGCCCGCACAAGCGGCGGAGCAUGCGGAUUAAUUCGAUGCAACGCGAAGAACCUUACCUGGGCUUGACAUGUUCCCGACAGCCGUAGAGAUAUGGCCUCCCUUCGGGGCGGGUUCACAGGUGGUGCAUGGUCGUCGUCAGCUCGUGUCGUGAGAUGUUGGGUUAAGUCCCGCAACGAGCGCAACCCUCGCCCCGUGUUGCCAGCGGAUUAUGCCGGGAACUCACGGGGGACCGCCGGGGUUAACUCGGAGGAAGGUGGGGAUGACGUCAGAUCAUCAUGCCCCUUACGUCCAGGGCUUCACGCAUGCUACAAUGGCCGGUACAACGGGAUGCGACACGGCGACGUGGAGCGGAUCCCUGAAAACCGGUCUCAGUUCGGAUUGGAGUCUGCAACCCGACUCCAUGAAGGCGGAGUCGCUAGUAAUCGCGGAUCAGCAACGCCGCGGUGAAUGCGUUCCCGGGCCUUGUACACACCGCCCGUCAAGUCAUGAAAGUGGGUAGCACCCGAAGCCGGUGGCCUAACCCUUUGUGGAUGGAGCCGUCUAAGGUGAGACUCGUGAUUGGGACUAAGUCGUAACAAGGUAGCCGUACCGGAAGGUGCGGCUG